rnacentral:rRNA from 1 species
GAUGAACGCUGGCGGCGUGCCUAACACAUGCAAGUCGAACGGAGAUUAUAGACGGAAGUUUUCGGAUGGAAGACUGUAAUUCUUAGUGGCGGACGGGUGAGUAACGCGUGGGCAACCUGCCCUAUACAGGGGGAUAGCAGCUGGAAACGGCUGGUAAGACCGCAUAAGUCGGCGAGACCGCAUGGUUUUGUCGGGAAAUGAGCAAUCAGGUAUAGGAUGGGCCCGCGUCCGAUUAGCCAGUUGGCAGGGUAAAAGCCUACCAAAGCAACGAUCGGUAGCCGGACUGAGAGGUCGGACGGCCACAUUGGGACUGAGACACGGCCCAAACUCCUACGGGAGGCAGCAGUGGGGGAUAUUGCACAAUGGAGGAAACUCUGAUGCAGCGACGCCGCGUGAGUGAAGAAGUAUUUCGGUAUGUAAAGCUCUAUCAGCAGGGAAGAUGAUGACGGUACCUGACUAAGAAGCCCCGGCUAACUACGUGCCAGCAGCCGCGGUAAUACGUAGGGGGCAAGCGUUAUCCGGAUUUACUGAGUGUAAAGGGAGCGCAGGCGGUUUGGCAAGUUGAGAGUGGAAGCAGGGGGCUCAACCCCCUGACUGCUCCCAAAACUGUUAAACUUGAGUAUGGGAGAGGCAGGCGGAAUUCCUAGUGUAGCGGUGAAAUGCUUAGAUAUUAGGAAGAACACCGGUGGCGAAGGCGGCCUGCUGGACCAAAACUGACGCUGAGGCUCGAAAGCGUGGGUAGCAAACAGG